AGACGACUAACAGAAAACGUUAAGAAGUGAUCAUGAAAACAUUACUACUGUUAAACCUGCUAAUAGGAAUUUAUUCAUCUCAAGCUUAUAAUUAUUACAGAAACAAUAACAGGAAUGUUAUAUUAAAUGAUUUUGUUUCCUCAUACAGGGAAAAUUAUCUACCAUUCGAAAAUAGAGACUACAUAACAUCAAACCUAAGAGUUCGUGAAUAUGCUGACGAAGCGAAUAAUUCUAAGAUUGAUAAAGAGAAGAUAGAUGAAAUGAAGAACAUAAUUGAAAAAUAUUUAGAAGCUAUAAGACAGUUAUAUAGAAGUAUAAUGGAAGCCACCGAAGAGUAAAUAUCUCAUUCAAAAUUUUUAAAAAAAUCAUCCAUUUGUUUUGCCGUAUAUUACGAAACAAUAAAAUCAUUAUGACGAGUUUACGAGUUAAAAUAUGAUAUGAAUAAGGAAUUUCGCUUGAGUUUUACAAGAGGAAUACUCGGAUUUAUUGAGAAUUCCUGCAUAUUUCUGUUAUUUAAGUGUGUUAUAAAAUAUUCAAUAAAUUUUAAAUGCAUUAAAAUGUUAAUAAAAUAUAAUUAUAUAUAAUUUAAUAAAUUUUUAUUACAUUAACCGAAAUUUAGUGUAAUUUAAUUGAUUCUUCUCAUGAGAAAAUGUUGUCAAAACUCGAUUUUCUGAAAAUUUUUCGGUUUGUUUUAUUAAAAAAUUAUGGAAUAUAUUAAAGAAUACAUUUACGAUAUGAAUAAUUUAACAGUUAUUUUAUAAUGUCUGAAUAUUAAAAUAAGCAUGAAAUCCAAAUGAUUAUUAUGCACAAAUGUGCCCAGUCUACAUGAGGCACUCAGGAAUGUACACUUAAAAAAGACACGUGAAAUAAAAGUUGCACAUGUAGUUUAUGCAAAUUAGUUACA